CUGGUCUUGACAUCCACAGAACUUUCCAGAGAUGGAUUGGUGCCUUCGGGAACUGUGAGACAGGUGCUGCAUGGCUGUCGUCAGCUCGUGUUGUGAAAUGUUGGGUUAAGUCCCGCAACGAGCGCAACCCUUAUCCUUUGUUGCCAGCGAUUAGGUCGGGAACUCAAAGGAGACUGCCAGUGAUAAACUGGAGGAAGGUGGGGAUGACGUCAAGUCAUCAUGGCCCUUACGACCAGGGCUACACACGUGCUACAAUGGCGCAUACAAAGAGAAGCGACCUCGCGAGAGCAAGCGGACCUCAUAAAGUGCGUCGUAGUCCGGAUUGGAGUCUGCAACUCGACUCCAUGAAGUCGGAAUCGCUAGUAAUCGUGGAUCAGAAUGCCACGGUGAAUACGUUCCCGGGCCUUGUACACACCGCCCGUCACACCAUGGGAGUGGGUUGCAAAAGAAGUAGGUAGCUUAACCUUCGGGAGGGCGCUUACCACUUUGUGAUUCAUGACUGGGGUGAAGUCGUAACAAGGUAACCGUAGGGGAACCUGCGGUUGGAUCACCUCCUUA
rnacentral:rRNA from 1 species